UAUAUUUUAGUGUAUGAUGCAUAAUAAUUUUUGAUAUUAUUGGAUUUAGUUUAAUUCUAAAAAAUAUAA
rnacentral:tRNA from 1 species